CAAAACAUUUAUUUUGCUUGGUUGAGUUAAAUUUUCAAAAUUUAUAAUCACUUUACGUAUAAUAAUCCCGUCCACAACGAAAAUAUUAUAGUCAAUUAAAACAUAAAAUUUAAAUAUAUAUUUAUAUUUUGCCUGGAUAAAGUUUGCUUACCUAAAGAAAUACAAGAAUUGUGAAGUUUUUGGCGGUAAAUGAAUAUGUGUGAGCGUCGUGGACGCCAUUGAAGGAGACGCUGCCACUAGCUGGUCACAUCUUACUCUCUCCUCUCAUAUUUCAGAUUUAUUUCAGUCCUCAUCUUGAAAGUUGGGAAAAGCUGAAUCUCAAGAAAAUUCCUGGAAACAAAGGAUUUGAGGUAUUAAAUCAUA